UUCCGAAGUCGAGGCGCACCCGGGGCUGCUGGGUUUUAGGCUAGGACAACUUCUGGGCACUUGUGGAGGAAGAAAUUUCGCUCAGGGGACGGCAUGCAAGUAUCAUGGGGUCCCAACUAGGUUCCGUGAACGGUAGGCUAUAGCUUGUUUACUAUUUACUCAGCCUCAAGUUCAGCCUUGAGAGAGAUGCUCUUUGAAACAGAAAGAGAAUCAAGAACCCCUUCUCUGAAUUUGGCCUCAAUGGAUGGAGAGAUAUAAAUUCAUGGGUAGUGAUCGGCAAUGUUAGUAGCACAGCCCAUGGCACUGCUGUCCUAAUUUUUGGAGGAUCCUUGGAGAAGAAACCUUCAGCAAGGACUCACUUUCUCCUCGCUGCCUUUGUUACUAAUGGUUUAGUUCCUCUUCAUCACUGCUGCCAGUUUCCCAGUGUAAGAUUUGACUAUUGUGUGUCUCAGGUGGGAAUACUAAAAAGCUAAGAGAAAUGUCUCCCUCUUGAAAGCUGGGAAUGUGGGAAUGCCUACCCUUUAGAAUUGUAGAUCUAAGCAAAUGCUCCUCAUACCAACCUCAGACACCAGUGCAUCUCCCCGCCCUCUCAGAGAAACAGAAACAUCCCGUUAUGAGGGUCAUCCAAGCUGGAUGAAGGGGAGGGGGGACUUCCUUUCAGUGUCUUCUAUAAAAGGAAAUAGUAGCUGGGGGCCAGAACAGAGUAUGGAGAGGCACAAGGGAAGCCCACCUGCUACAUACAAUCUGUAUUUACUCUUUAGGUUCAUGCAUCAUGUUAAACUAUAUUUCAUCGUAACUAUGAAUUAUUCGCUGUCACAUUUAGCCUUGCCCACAUAUAAUAUAUGAAGCCAUAACAUCUACAAAGGCAUCAUUCACACAUUGCACUAAAUCAAAAUGGAAACACCUUUGAUUUCUCCUCACAAUAUAAGCAAAUCUCCCUUCUUUCCUCCACAUAGAAAUCAGUAUCUUUUCUUCCCUUAAAGGACAUUAUUUUAGGCAGAAUGCGAAAUCAUUUCUUGUCUUUCAUAAGAUUCAGAUUGUUUACUGAACAAGGAGACCUGAAGAGGGAGGGGGAAACACCCCUGGGCUAUGACCAAGCUCACUUGUCUGCUUAUCAGAUUGAAUCCCCAGUCUAUCUUCCAGUCUGUUUCUGAAAUUCACAUCGCUCUGUAUCACACACACAUACAUAUCCUUGAAAUCGUAUGUUGGAGCGCUCUGUGUGUGUGUGUGCACGCACGCACGCGUGAGUGCAUGCAUGCGCACUUUAUGAUACAAAUUUGAUAAUCUCCUCAGCCCACUAGUAUGGUUCUAAUUUAAGCUUUAAGGCCAUAAAAUUCGAGCUCUUUGUUUUCCCGAAGGCCACAAGAUUUUCAAAAGAUACCAUUGUGCCGCUCAGAAGCCCAUAAAAUUGUCACUAGGCGCUGAUUAAACAGUCCUGAAUUGAAACAGUGCAGAUUUUGUCUAGGUCCUUUUCAGACACUACAAUGUCCUUUUCAACCUCUGAGACAAAAGGAGGUUUAAGGAGGAUUCUCUUAGAGAUUCUUCUGAGAUAACCCCAACCAUAUGGAAAGCAAGGUGGCCAGCAGCUGAGACCAUAAUAUGAAAAAAAAAAUUAAAAAGGAGAAAGGAGACAAAAAAGAAAAACAGGUGACAACACGACUGUCCACCAUCCCAACUGCUCUCCCAACUGCUCUCCAUCAAGGAUCUUCCGGAAACACACAAUGGGGCCCAACAACACAACCAUCACAGGUCUUCCCAAGGAUAGACUUAAAAGAUGCAGCCACAGAUAUCAGCAAAAUCCACAUGGCAUAGGCAUGAGGAAAGCUUGCAAGGAUUGGUACUGUAGAGUCAACACCCAGGGGAUGCUGUGUCCUCCAUCAUCUCUAGCUAAUGUCUCCUUGCUAGCUGAGAAUCUUGAGAGUGAUAUUGCCCAACAAAGUUGGAGAGUACCAAAUUGGGGAGAACAGUCUGAAUUAUACCUCCAAAGCAAGAUGGGUUGUUGAAGACAGGCCUAUUUCAAGUGAUAUGCUUCAAAAACAGUGGAGUGAGAAUUGUGUUAGGGUUUGCUAAACUAUAAGUCCCAGCUCCCAACGUCCAGGGAUGGUGGAAACUUUUACUUCGGCAACAUUGAAAAGCCCAUUAGCCAUCAAUUUCCCCACCUCAGAAAUACUUGAUGAUGAACAACACAUGUACAUACACACACAUUUUCCUUUGUAUCUAUAAAGGAGAGUCGAGUCAGGUUUUGGCUGCUUCUACAGUUUUCCUUACCUUGAGCUCUGAAUUUCUGAUGUGUGGGUGUGUGGCAAGCCAAGGACUUAGUGUAGUUGUAUAGCAUAAGCAUCAGAAAGAAAAAAGAAUAAAAGCAUGUUCUACAUUAGAUGGCCCUCAAACUAGUCUCCUCAAACAGGGGAUCUGGCAGAAGGAAAUGCAAGUCAUCAUCAUUUGCAGUUGUGUCUGAAUAUUUCCCAAUUAAAUUGUUAUGGGUAAUAAUGUAUGACUCCUCAAACCAUUAUCAAAGGCCAAGGUCAACAUAUUCAAAGCAAAACAGCAGGAUAUUAAUGUCUUAGAUUUUUAAAAAUGCUGUUAUUUUAAGUAAUAAUCAUCAUAAUCGCAAUUACAUAAAAUGAACAUCAUAAAAUGCUUCAAACUUUCCAUCUUCAGUUGAAUCAUAGUGGAGUAGUAGAAAAUAUGAAAUUGCAACUUUUAUUAUAGAGUAAGAAAAGACAUGUCUGGUGUCUUAUUGGAAUUCAGAAAUAAAUUUCAAGCUCAAAUUUCUUUUUAAGGAAGUCUGAUUACUGGAGAUUCCCAGGACCAAACUACCUUUCACAUUGUGGUAGAUGAUAUGAUCCUAAGUUUCUGACAAAGCAUCAGUCAUCCUUAUUUAUUCUCAAUACAUCUGGUGCACAAUCCCUUUCAAGAAUGUCAUUUUCCAUGGGAUACAUUUGAUUGUGUACUCAUUUUCUAGUCUUUCCAAACUGUUGGUUCCCAAGGACCACAGGCCAGGAGAUUGCUUUACAUUAAUGCAAUAUUUAUCGACAUUUGCAAUGCUAAGGCUGACUUACUCCUUUUAUUAGAUUAAUUCUACAGAAAUAUUUUUGAGACUAUUAUCAUUCUCAAUAACAUCACCCUGAAUGGUCAUCUUAAACAGCAUCUUGUCUGGAUACAUCCACAUAGUAAACCCAAUAGCAAUUGCAUUUAUUAAUAUGGCCAUUAUUCCAUAGUACCAAGGAGAGAGAAUGGGAAGGUAGAAGUCAUAUUCUGUGGAAAUUAUGGCAACCUGCCCUGCUCUCACACAACAGAUAAGCUACACAGAUGGUCCCCAGGAUCACCAUGUGGGGAAAGCUGUUGAGACCAUAAAGAAAGCAGAAAAGGGCAGAUCCUUCCCCGCAAAUGCCUGCCCUCCAAUAUUCAAUCCUUUUCCCCCUAAGGUUGAAUAGACAUUUGCAAGCAACUAUAAACUAUCCCCAACUGAACAGAAGUAUUGGAAUCUGCACCAACUUUAUUUGAGCUAAAAAUUAUUGAAUCAAUCCCAGAAUUCUGAAUCCCAGGUAAUUCACAUGAAAAAUUGCAUAUCUAAUGUGCAAGAGGAAUUUGGAAAGGUAGCAGUAAUAAACUACAGUGUCUAAACCAGCCAAACCAUUAUGGUAAUGUGAUCUGAUUGACAAAAAUGGGCUUCAACUAGCCCCAAUGAGAGAAUGCUUUCAAUCACUAGUACUGUAUGGAAAUGACUGAAAAUUAAGUUUCUUUAAAUUAAAUUUCUGAAGACCAUAGUUGAUUUCAUCAGAUUUCCGUGUGUGUGGUGUGUGUGUGUGUGUGUGUGUGUGUGUGUGUGGUUUCCAGGAAGUGAGCUGGAUGAGAGUAAGUCUUUAUUUUAUUUAUUUGUUCAAUUGUGUGCCACAGAUCUUGUCUAAAAUUUAUUUACUUUUGUGUCCCAGCAGGUUGUACAUUUGGCAUUUUAUUUACCAUUUAAACUCUGGUUAUUCAAUUACCAUCCUUGUAAUGCGUACUUGCCAACUGGACUUCAAUCCAUACAAUUUGUUGAGGAACACAUUUGUUACAGUGCAUAACUACUCAAAGAAAAGCCCUUUAAGUCCAGCGAGGUUUACUUCUGAGACGUAAAUGUAUGACCUCAUUGUAUUAAACAAAAUGCCACAAAGCAUUUCUAAGGAGUUUGAACCAAUCAUCCCAAUACAUGUUUUUAAAUCUCCUCUCUUCCACCAGAGGGUACUGAUAGUUACCUAGAGAAAUUAAUUUUGAGCAACCCCCAUGAGUAGAAUUAUUUAAAAACUGAAACUACAUCCAACACAGAUUGCUCUUUAUCUGCUGCACUUCAAUUGAAAUACAACUGGUUCCUUAUGUCGGUUUUUCUAGAUUCUUAAAACAAGGUCAAAAGGAAGGUUUGGCAGGUAUUGUGCAGUCACCCAUUGUUUUUGAUGCUUCCAAUUAGGCUUCCAUUGAUUUUAUUCCCAAAUCAUUCUACGUCCUAACUUCACUUUCUUCUAUUCUAUUAAGGAACCCAAGACAAUUGUUCCUGGAUGACAAACUCCCAUUUGUCCUGUAAAAAUAUGCUUCUGAAUUUGAAAGCCUUUACUGUGUUCUGAAAAGGUGGUGCGUAUAUAUGCGGGAAUUAACCUGGAUGAUUUCAAAGUUGUAAGGCCAAAAUGCAAAUCUCCACAAGCCUUCUUGGGAAGUAAUUGCCAAGGAUCCCUACACAGCAAUCAGACUUACUUCUGGGCAAGCUGCAGAAUUGCAACCUUUUUGUCUCUGUUCUGUACAUUUACAUA